rnacentral:rRNA from 1 species
UACGUAGGGUCCGAGCGUUGUCCGGAAUUACUGGGCGUAAAGAGCUCGUAGGUGGUUUGUCGCGUUGUUCGUGAAAACUCACAGCUUAACUGUGGGCGUGCGGGCGAUACGGGCAGACUGGAGUACUGCAGGGGAGACUGGAAUUCCUGGUGUAGCGGUGAAAUGCGCAGAUAUCAGGAGGAACACCGGUGGCGAAGGCGGGUCUCUGGGCCGAUACUGACGCUGAGGAGCGAAAGCAUGGGGAGCGAACAGG